GCCUGUUUAUCAAAAACAUGUCUUUUCGAAAUUUUAAAUAAAAAGUCGUAUCUGCUCACUGAUAAUAUCUUUAAGAGCUGCAGUAUACUAACUGUGCGAAGGUAGCAUAAUAAAUUGUCUUUUAAUUAAAGGCUUGAAUGAAUGAUUUGACUAUAAAUUUUCUGUCUUACCUUGAACUUAAAAAAUUAAUUUUUAGUUAAAAUUCUAAAAUAAAAUUAAAAGACGAAAAGACCCUAUAAAAUUUUACUUWCUAGUUAAAWUGAKUAGUCUAUCUAAAYUAAGAUAGAUAAGUYUAAWUGGGGAGAKKKUUAUAACUAAAUAAUAACUKUUUAAAAGCUAAAACAUCCWCCAAUGAAAUAAACGACCUUACUUAAAAUCACUGAAUCAAAWUACUUUAGGGAUAACAGCGYNNUUUUUUUUWGAGUUCUUAUCAAAAAAAAAGKKUACGACCUUCGCCUGUUUAUCAAAAACAUAUAC
rnacentral:rRNA from 1 species